AAGUCAUUGUGCCUUCCACCUGUUCCCUCCCCUGGAUCACUCACUCUGGAGGAUGCUGGCUACGGGUGUAAGGACGCGCAAGCAGCUCUAGAGAGAGGCCAUGCAGAGAGGAACUGAGGCCUCCUGCCAAUAGCCCAUGGGAAAGGAACCAUUUUGUCAAAGGAUGUGACAGCAGGAAGCUCUGAAGCCUUUGGCGAGGUUGGGGGUGGGGGGUAGAAACCCAGGGGCAGCCCCUGAGGUAUCUUCAUGCAAAACACUGAAUCUUUUUUUUUUUGAGGAAGAUUAGCCCUGAGCUAACAUCUGCUGCCAAUCCUCCUCUUUUUGCUGAGGAAGACUGGCCCUGAGCUAACAUCUGUGCCCAUCUUCCUCUACUUUAUAUGUGGGACGCCUGCCACAGCAUGGCUUGCCAAGUGGUGCCCUGUCCACACCCGGGAUCCGAACUGGGGAACCACGGGCCGCCAAAGUGGAACGUGUGAACUUAACCAUUGUGCCACUGGGCCAGCCCCAAAACACUGAACCUUUUCAGGACUAAACCCACAACGUGCACCACUGGCCGCAGACAAAGCUCGUCCCCAGCACCCCAGCAUCCGUCAAGACUUUAGUCCUCGUCCCUCUUGUUAGGAUUUGCUGCAGCUGCCUGUGACAGAAAACCCUAAAUAACAGAAGCUUAAACAACAGAAGUUUCUUUUCUCUCCAGUAAACAAAGCCCAGAGGGAGUAAUCAGAGAUCUGGGCUCAGGUGAUCCAGACUCACAACAAUUGGAGUCACUUAAAGGCCCUGUGCCAGCAUCAUUCCAGCAGCCCCAUCUUUGUGAGCCUCAGCACGUGGCCCUCACCUCAGAGUCCCAGGCUGGCUUCCCUCACACCCCCAGAAAGAACGGAGGUGACCAGGCUCCUGGUGCGUCCAGGACUGAGGGACUUCCCAGGAUGGGGACUUUCAGGUUUUGGUGUUUGCUUUUUUGAGGAAAAUUAGCCCUGAGCUAACAUCCGUGCCCAUCUUCCUCUACUUUAUAUGUGGGACGCCUACCACAGCAUGGCUGGCCAAGCAGUGCCAUGUCCGCACCAGGGAUCCGAACUGGUGAACCCCGGGCUGCCGAAGUGGAAUGUGUGCGCUUAACCGCUGUGCCACCGGGCCGGCCCCAGGACUUUCAGUUUUAAAUCCAGGAGAAUUUCAGGCAAACCAGGACCAGUUUGUCCCCCUAGAAGGAGGACAUGGACCCUCCCGUAAGGACACUUUCUGCAAGUCGUACAACAUGUUUCUCUUAUCCCAUUGGCCAAAAUUUAGCCACAUGGCCUCAUCCAGCUACGGGGGCAGGGGGACAGACUGGGAAAUGUGAGUUUUAUGCUGGGUGGCCAAUUGCUCAAUUGAACACUUUUUAUUUAAAAAAAAAAAAAAAAAGAGAGAGAGAGAAACGAUAUUGGGAUCCACCAGCGGUCUCUGCUGGCCUCCCUCCGUCGUGCAGCCCCUCCUGCCCUCUGAGCAUCUCUGGCUUCUGCUGCACCUCACACAGAGGUGGCUUUACUCCACUGUGACCUUUCUUUUUGUGCUUGGCUGCAGUUAAAAUUUCCCUUUAGCAAUGCCACUUCCGGCUGUCCUGUGAUCCUCAGCCCAGCCUGUCCUAAAUCCAGACAAGAGACUUCCAUGGAUGCUGGAAACACAGUCUCCUUAGCCGCCUAACCAAGCUUCACGCCCGCCCCCCGCCCCCCCACCCAGGCCCCGGGGCUGGGCGUCCUUACUGAAGAGCUUCAAAGGCAAGGAAGUCUCGAGACUUGUGGGCAAGGAAAGGAGGGGGCAAGUCUCUUCCCUUCCCCCUCCCUCCCCUUCCCUUCCUCCCUCAUCAGACAUCGGACACCGAAGACACCAUGAUAAAUAAAUGGACACACUUCCUGCAUCUGAGAGCUUAUAGACUAGCCUAUGGGACAAUUAGACAAUCCUGCAUGACAGGUAGGACGGGGACCAAGACAGGAAAUCAGGGAGCUAGGGGAGGCCUAGAACAGACUCCCAACCCGAUUGGGGCGUUCAGGGGGCUUCCCAGAGAAGAUGACCAAGGUGGGUCGUGAGGGAUGAGUAGGAGUUGGGCCCUGAAUAGGAUGAGCCAAGUGAGAGAAGGGAGUGUUCAAGGAUAUGGAGCAGCCUGUAGAAGAGCCACAAGGCAGGAGAGAAUGCAACUCCCGCAAGGGACUGGAAGCUCUGCGAGUUGGACCUAGGAUGGAGAGGGGCAGUGCUGGGGAGUGGCUAGAGAUCAAAUGGGUGUCAGGGGCUGGAUCACAACCAGGAGCCAUGAGGAGGAGCUGGCACCUUGCCUGAGAGCAUCAACUGGGCCAUCGGCCUCAUAAGCACUGAGUGGCCCUCACACAGCUCAGCUGAUGUCCUGCUCUUGUGCUGAUGUCAUGCCCAGGCCUGGGGUCACUGGGUGACAGAGAGGCUGGGAGUGCAGCUGGACCCCUGCCCGGUCACGCCAGAGAUGAAGAUGAGCCAGCCCCUGCCGCUGCUGCGUUGUGGGGCGAUGGGCCACUUUACGAAGGGGUGUCCCACCUCCUCCUACACCCACCACUGUAACCCCUCCUGCCACUGGGCCCCUGCUUCCCCGGCUCCCUCUGGUCGGGAAAUAUUCUCACCGCCCAUUCUAGCAGGACCUCAGGAUGCGGGUUCGGAAGCUCCCCGUCGGGGGAACACGACUGGCAAGCCUCCACUCCUGGGGGGAGGGGCCACAUAAGCCCCAGGUGCCAGGUCACAGGGAGCAUCCGUGCUGGCAGCUCCCUGCUCACUGGUGGGUGUGGGAGUAACUGGGGUGGUUGGGGACUGCCUGAGGGAUUGCAAAGCUGUAGCUGUGGUUUGGCAUAUUUCUUAAUUUUUUUCUAAUUCAAUUGAAAUCUAACUCCAAGCCACUAUCCUACUGAACUGGUAGGAAAUUCAGUCUCAGGAUAUCACUGAGCUUCCCUCCUCCACCCCAGGGUCUUGUCAAAGUCCCGGGGCCCCAGGCCUUACCAGGGCCUCGGGAUGGUCCCUCUGUCCACAGGACUACCCACCUUUCCAACGCUUGGGCCGCCUCAGGCUUGGGGGCUCAGCUGAUAUAGCCUGUCUUUGGGGGUAUGGGAAUUGUUGGGGAGCGGUGUGAACUCUGUGCCUAAGGUCCACCCUCCCUGAGUAUCCGGCAGCCAUUUUCUCCAAGGCCUUGUCACCUCCUGGACACUGCCUAGAAUCAGGACAUGGGACCUCUCCCCUCCCUUCCCGGCCCAAGUCACACUCUGCCCCUUUUCCUUCUGGGGUAAAAAUUUCUCCCCCUUCAGUCCUUGCUGCUCUCAAAAGCCCACCGCUUCUUCCUUCUGCUUCCAG
ensembl:lncRNA